AGCGGGGCGUGGGCGCCGUCUGAGCCGCGGCCCCGGGCCGCCGCCGAGGAGCGUCUCAGCGCUCCUCGGCGCCGUUCCGUGUCGGCGCCCCCGCUGC
rnacentral:tRNA from 1 species